rnacentral:rRNA from 1 species
UGGGGAAUAUUGCACAAUGGAGGAAACUCUGAUGCAGCGACGCCGCGUGAGGGAAGAAGGUUUUCGGAUUGUAAACCUCUGUCUUCGGGGACGAUAAUGACGGUACCCGAGGAGGAAGCCACGGCUAACUACGUGCCAGCAGCCGCGGUAAUACGUAGGUGGCAAGCGUUGUCCGGAUUUACUGGGUGUAAAGGGAGCGCAGGUGGAAACGCAAGUAGGAUGUCUAAUCUACGGGCUCAACCCGUAACCGCAUUCUAAACUGUGUUUCUUGAGUGGAGUAGAGGCAGGCGGAAUUCCCGGUGUAGCGGUGGAAUGCGUAGAUAUCGGGAGGAACACCAGUGGCGAAGGCGGCCUGCUGGGCUCUAACUGACACUGAGGCUCGAAAGCGUGGGUAGCAAACAGG